UCUCUCUCUCCUACUUUACCCACCACAUACCCCAUACAAAUGGAUCCUCCUUGAUAUUUGUAGGAAUAGUAACAAUGAAAAUGUUUAGGAAACGAAGGUAGUAUCCCUUAAAAAAAAUAUAAAAGUUUCAAGAGACUUAAUCAUUUUUUUUUUGAGAUAUACAAGAGACUCAAUAAUCUACGCCCAAAUAUCUUCAUGCAACCUUAUUACCAGACAUUUCAAAACAAGAAAAACAAAACCCUUCGCUUUCCACCACCAAUCCUCCUCUCUCCUCCUCACUCGUCACCACCGACCUUCCUCUCUUUCUCAAGGCGACAAUUUCUGAAAAUGUCGAUGACGACACCACUUGACGGGUUGCAGUUGUUACUGCUUGACACUUUGUUGCUGAUGUUGGGCCACCUCGCUACUGCUACCGCCUACCCAACGUUUCCGCUUCACGGUUACAGUUCCAAUAACUCAAAUCCUUCUUUAAUUCGCAUCUCAUCAGGGAAUUUUCAAAGGUUGCCAUUAUCAAAAAUCAAAACCAAUUUUGGGUUUUUUUCAUUUUUGAGGUUUAAGGGCAUGAAUUAGAACAAAAUUAGGUACAAGUUAGGAAUGCAAAUGAAGUAAACAAGCUGUUCGCGUAACACUAAUCCCUGUUUAGUGUAACACUUGUGAACAACCAAAGAGAAAUGUUAGUUUAUUAAGGUGUUUUUGUAAAUGACAAUUAUAUUUAUCUAUAUAGUAACUUUUUUAUUGA